GGGGUUCUGAGAGGAAGGUCCCCCACAUUGGAACUGAGACACGGUCCAAACUCCUACGGGAGGCAGCAGUGAGGAAUAUUGGUCAAUGGGCGAGAGCCUGAACCAGCCAAGUAGCGUGAAGGAUGAAGGCUCUAUGGGUCGUAAACUUCUUUUAUAUGGGAAUAAAGUAUUCCACGUGUGGAAUUUUGUAUGUACCAUAUGAAUAAGGAUCGGCUAACUCCGUGCCAGCAGCCGCGGUAAUACGGAGGAUCCGAGCGUUAUCCGGAUUUAUUGGGUUUAAAGGGAACGUAGGUGGAUUGUUAAGUCAGUUGUGAAAGUUUGCGGCUCAACCGUAAAAUUGCAGUUGAAACUGGCAGUCUUGAGUACAGUAGAGGUGGGCGGAAUUCGUGGUGUAGCGGUGAAAUGCUUAGAUAUCACGAAGAACUCCGAUUGCGAAGGCAGCUCACUAGACUGUCACUGACACUGAUGCUCGAAAGUGUGGGUAUCAAACAGGAUUAGAUACCCUGGUAGUCCACACAGUAAACGAUGAAUACUCGCUGUUUGCGAUAUACAGUAAGCGGCCAAGCGAAAGCAUUAAGUAUUCCACCUGGGGAGUACGCCGGCAACGGUGAAACUCAAAGGAAUUGACGGGGGCCCGCACAAGCGGAGGAACAUGUGGUUUAAUUCGAUGAUACGCGAGGAACCUUACCCGGGCUUAAAUUGCAACAGAAUAUAUUGGAAACAGUAUAGCCGUAAGGCUGUUGUGAAGGUGCUGCAUGGUUGUCGUCAGCUCGUGCCGUGAGGUGUCGGCU
rnacentral:rRNA from 1 species